UAAGCCAUGCGAGUCAUGGGGCGCGCUCUGCGCGACACCGGCGGACGGCUCAGUAACACGUCGGUAACCUACCCUCGGGAGGGGGAUAACCCCGGGAAACUGGGGCUAAUCCCCCAUAGGCCUGGGGUACUGGAAGGUCACCAGGCCGAAAGGGGCUCUGCCCGCCCGAGGAUGGGCCGGCGGCCGAUUAGGUAGUUGGUGGGGUAACGGCCCACCAAGCCGAAGAUCGGUACGGGCCAUGAGAGUGGGAGCCCGGAGAUGGACACUGAGACACGGGUCCAGGCCCUACGGGGCGCAGCAGGCGCGAAACCUCCGCAAUGCGGGCAACCGCGACGGGGGGACCCCCAGUGCCGUGGCACAGCCACGGCUUUUCCGGAGUGUAAAAAGCUCCGGGAAUAAGGGCUGGGCAAGGCCGGUGGCAGCCGCCGCGGUAAUACCGGCGGCCCAAGUGGUGGCCGCUAUUAUUGGGCCUAAAGCGUCCGUAGCCGGGCCCGUAAGUCCCUGGCGAAAUCCCACGGCUCAACCGUGGGGCUUGCUGGGGAUACUGCGGGCCUUGGGACCGGGAGAGGCCGGGGGUACCCCUGGGGUAGGGGUGAAAUCCUAUAAUCCCAGGGGGACCGCCAGUGGCGAAGGCGCCCGGCUGGAACGGGUCCGACGGUGAGGGACGAAGGCCAGGGGAGCNAACCGGAUUAGAUACCCGGGUAGUCCUGGCUGUAAAGGAUGCGGGCUAGGUGUCGGGCGAGCUUCGANCUCGCCCGGUGCCGGAGGGAAGCCGUUAAGCCCGCCGCCUGGGGAGUACGGCCGCAAGGCUGAAACUUAAAGGAAUUGGCGGGGGAGCACUACAAGGGGUGGAGCGUGCGGUUUAAUUGGAUUCAACGCCGGGAACCUCACCGGGGGCGACGGCAGGAUGAAGGCCAGGCUGAAGGUCUUGCCGGACGCGCCGAGAGGAGGUGCAUGGCCGCCGUCAGCUCGUACCGUGAGGCGUCCACUUAAGUGUGGUAACGAGCGAGACCCGCGCCCCCAGUUGCCAGUCCUCCCCGCUGGGGAGGAGGCACUCUGGGGGGACCGCCGGCGAUAAGCCGGAGGAAGGAGCGGGCGACGGUAGGUCAGUAUGCCCCGAAACCCCCGGGCUACACGCGCGCUACAAUGGGCGGGACAAUGGGAACCGACCCCGAAAGGGGAAGGGAAUCCCCUAAACCCGCUCCCAGUUCGGAUCGCGGGCUGCAACUCGCCCGCGUGAAGCUGGAAUCCCUAGUACCCGCGUGUCAUCAUCGCGCGGUGAAUNCGUCCCUGCUCC
rnacentral:rRNA from 1 species